UUUGAUUGACUGAGUGGCGGACGGGUGAGUAACGCGUGGAUAACCUGCCUCACACUGGGGGAUAACAGUUAGAAAUGACUGCUAAUACCGCAUAAGCGCACAGUACCGCAUGGUACGGUGUGAAAAACUCCGGUGGUGUGAGAUGGAUCCGCGUCUGAUUAGCCAGUUGGCGGGGUAACGGCCCACCAAAGCGACGAUCAGUAGCCGACCUGAGAGGGUGACCGGCCACAUUGGGACUGAGACACGGCCCAAACUCCUACGGGAGGCAGCAGUGGGGAAUAUUGCACAAUGGGCGAAAGCCUGAUGCAGCGACGCCGCGUGAGUGAAGAAGUAUUUCGGUAUGUAAAGCUCUAUCAGCAGGGAAGAAAAUGACGGUACCUGACUAAGAAGCCCCGGCUAACUACGUGCCAGCAGCCGCGGUAAUACGUAGGGGGCAAGCGUUAUCCGGAUUUACUGGGUGUAAAGGGAGCGUAGACGGCGAAGCAAGUCUGAAGUGAAAACCCAGGGCUCAACCCUGGGACUGCUUUGGAAACUGUUUUGCUAGAGUGUCGGAGAGGUAAGUGGAAUUCCUAGUGUAGCGGUGAAAUGCGUAGAUAUUAGGAGGAACACCAGUGGCGAAGGCGGCUUACUGGGCG
rnacentral:rRNA from 1 species